AGAGCAGCUUGGGGGAUGGGUGCUGUAAAUAGAGUCUCAUUAGCACAGUCAAGCUUGGUGCCUGAUUAAUUAUGGAGCACUUGAUAAAUAACGUCCUGAAGUCAUGGAAAUCAGGAGAAAAGGUACAGAUAAUUGAAUGGAAUUGAAGAACUGGCAGUGUUGAGAGCAUCAUUAACAUAUUUUUGCUCUGGUUGUUCUUCUUGGCAUCUGCCCUUGUCACAAUCGGCUCUGGGCUUCAGCAGCUGCACAUUUGGGUGGAAGAAAGGAAGCAGAGAUAGGGAAGGCUGAAGACAAGUAGAAACUGCUGUCCUUUAUAGGACCCCAGAGGUCCACUGGGGUUUGCAACCACUCCUGUCCUCUGGAGAGGUCGAUGCCUUUAUUUCUUUCCAUUAUGCAGAAUUAACUUUUUCCUCAAGCAUGUCAGUGCCCAUUUCCUGAAGUCAGCUGGGUGUGUGACAAUGGUUCUCAAUAUGGGUCAUUUUGGAUUCUGCAUAGCAAGCUAACACAUACCAUAAGUCUCCUCUGAAGAUGUCCCUGCUCGUGGUCAUUUGCCUGCUACCCUGAAUCAGACAAGUCAAGUUUCCGUUUUAGACAAUAUGAUAAAACAUUAUCCAUGUGCAAGAUCUGAAUGGGUAGCCCUUUGCUUGGUACCAUGCAUAUGCCUUUAAAAAUGUGAAUUUUCUUGUUGUCAGAGUUUGUUGUUCUCCAUCUAGAUAUCUGAGCUUUUUAGGAAUCUCUGUGGAUUUUUUAAAUUAAUAUACUAGCAGUAAAAUUUUGAGAGAAAAUUUGUAAUACAAGUACUUUCAGAUGAGUCUAGGAGCAAAUUCGAUGAAACAAACUGAGAAGUGAUAGUAAUUUCUUGUCUCUCUCUGGAGGAGGAAAGUGGGUUUCCACCCAGGGACCAUGUUGUACUCGUACAUGGAGAGUGAGCUGCCUUCUGAGACACAGAAUGUGUUCCAGGUCACUGGGAUAUUGGUUGACACGCUCGGUUCUGCCUGUGGCCUUCAGCAGGGUGGUGUGGAUAUGGGAGGCUGAGCAGAGAAUGCCAAGGUCUGAGGAGCAGCAGCUGCCUUUGCUGGCUUUUUAGUGCAGAUAAUAAAAUAGCUUGGAGACUCUCACGUGAGAUAGAACUGUUCUAUAGAAAAUACUGCCACUUGGGAUGCUGCCAAGCUUUAUCUAUCCCAUGUGUUUUUCUACUCAGUUAAAUUUUUUUCUUCCCUUUUUUAUUUUUGUUAAAGAAACAGAAGAACCGGUCCAGAUUGAGUAAAAAUUGACCUAAAUGCUCAUUAGAGCACAAGCUUACUCAGUCUCUCUUAAGAUUUACUUAUACAGAAACCACAAUAAAACCUGCCUUGUACAGUUGCCCCAGGACAGGGAUAAACUUAGGGGCUGAACUCUACUGAGUGCUUACAGGCAAAUGGAUAGAGAGAGGAGCAGGAGUAGCCAUUAGUAACAAUGUUUCUCUAUAGUUUAGGGAUUUUUUUUUUCUUGAAAAUCUUUAUGCUACAUUCCUUUGCCCCAGCCAGGAACUGAACUUUUGUUUAUAUUCAUUUCCCCAUCUUAGUAGAAAGUCUGUUCAAAGGUCAUUCUUUAAAAAGCGCUCUAAUAUUUCCCUCCGUGUUGAAAAGUGAUGCUUCAUGAAGUUUUCCCAGGUGAAUCAUAGAGUUCUUCCAUAGUGUAACGAGUAGACCAACUGCAGGCUCUGGAGUGGUUUGUGUAUGAAAACUAGUCAGCCAACUCAUAUCAAAUAUCUACUAGGAACAGGGCAACAUGCUGUAUCCCAAGAUCUAAUGUGACUGGAUCUUGACAAAAUGAUUGUAUAAAAUUUCGCAUAUACCUAAUAACUUGGAAUAUUUUAGACUAGCUACGUUAUUAAUCCAGAAAAUCCAGGCAGAGAUCUUGCGAUCCAUCCUAAAUUCUUUAGCUAAUGAGACAGCUUCUCUGUUUUCUUUUGUUUUUCAUCUGGGUCUGAAAUUCGGGAUUAGACAGCAGCAGUGACUACUCUCAUUUUCGUUGUUGUUGUUCUUGUAUUUAUUCAGUUCUGGCAUCUCCCAGUUUACCAGGAGGCACAGCUCAACAAGAGGCUCUGAACUAAAACUACUAGAUUAGUUAAACUCAUUCUGUAUUGAGCAUUGCCCUUACUCCACUAAUUUAUUCUAGAGUCCCCAUGGAAUUCCCACUAAAACUACUAGAGUAGUUAAACUCAUUCUGUAUUGAGCAUUGCCCUUACUCCACUAAUUUAUUCUAGAGUCCCCAUGGAAUUCCUAGGACAACGCAAACUCAGCUCACAACCGUCUUGAGCCACUAGGGGAAAACCUGCUUGAAAAAUGGACCUGAAGGCCUGAGCAAAAUAAGUUAUUUUUUCACAGAGUCACUUUUCAGAAAUUAUGUAUGACACUGAAAUUAGCAAAUUUGAAUUUCAAUAGGUUACAUGCUGAAGUCGUGGGAAUCAAGAGAAAAACUGCUUGUUUUAUUUUUCCCGGAAUUUUGUCAGGAAUUGUGAUUAAAAACACCAUUAAAAUCUGGACAAUGACCUUUUGAGAAUAUAUUUUUUCCUUUGAUAGCCGUUUUCUUCAUUGAAAUUCUUGUAUAUAUAAAGGAGUCCUCUCACAGGAAAACAGGUACCCACCAGUGAUUUGUCAAAUCAUUAUUGUGGGUAAGAAACUUGAGUCUCAGUUUGCUCUUCUUUCUUCCAGUCUGAUCUCAACUAAUAGUUUGACGUGCUUUCAUAUGACUUGGUGUGGGAGAGACCACCAUUAGACACUGCUAUAAUUAAAAUGUAACAGAUACUGAAGGGAGUCAAAUGAUUUCUUCUCACUUUCUAUUUGUUGCACAUUACCAUAUCAUUUUCGUUUAUCAACAAUAUCUCAUUGUACACAUUGGUUAAACUUGUGGUUACUUGUGCAUUUUUUAAGUUCUCUUUGACUUUAACAAACAUUUAAUAAAAUUUUCUUUUCAACUCUUGCUUUCAAUUCCCUCUUAUUCUAGGGAAAAAAGUAGUUUAGUAGUUUAAGAGAUUUAUUG
ensembl:lncRNA